rnacentral:rRNA from 1 species
CGCGUAGGCGGCUAUUUAAGUCUGAUGUGAAAUCCCCGGGCUCAACCUGGGAAUGGCAUCGGAUACUGGGUAGCUAGAGUGCAGUAGAGGAAGGUGGAAUUCCAGGUGUAGCGGUGAAAUGCGUAGAGAUCUGGAGGAACACCAGUGGCGAAGGCGGCCUUCUGGACUGACACUGACGCUGAGGUGCGAAAGCGUGGAGAUCAAACA